rnacentral:rRNA from 1 species
CCUACGGGGGGCAGCAGUAGGGGAUAUUGCUCAAUGGGGGAAACCCUGAAGCAGCAACGCCGCGUGGAGGAUGAAGGUUUUCGGAUUGUAAACUCCUUUUGUUAGAGAAGAUAAUGACGGUAUCUAACGAAUAAGCACCGGCUAACUCCGUGCCAGCAGCCGCGGUAAUACGGAGGGUGCAAGCGUUACUCGGAAUCACUGGGCGUAAAGAGCGCGCAGGCGGGAUAGCAAGUCAGAUGUGAAAUCCUAUGGCUUAACCAUAGAACUGCAUUUGAAACUGUUAUUCUAGAGUAUGGGAGAGGUAGGUGGAAUUCUUGGUGUAGGGGUAAAAUGCGUAGAGAUCAAGAGGAAUACUCAUUGCGAAGGCGACCUGCUAGAACAUAACUGACGCUGAUGCGCGAAGGCGUGGGGAGCAAACAGGAUUAGAUACCCGGGUAGUC